CCCUACGGGGCGCAGCAGUGGGGGAUAUUGCACAAUGGGGGGAACCCUGAUGCAGCGACGCCGCGUGGGUGAAGAAGCGCCUCGGCGCGUAAAGCCCUGUCAGCAGGGAAGAAAAUGACGGUACCUGAAGAAGAAGCCCCGGCUAACUACGUGCCAGCAGCCGCGGUAAUACGUAGGGGGCAAGCGUUAUCCGGAUUUACUGGGUGUAAAGGGGGCGCAGACGGCGAUGCAAGCCAGGAGUGAAAGCCCGGGGCCCAACCCCGGGACUGCUCUUGGAACUGUAAGGCUAGAGUGUCGGAGAGGCG
rnacentral:rRNA from 1 species